rnacentral:misc_RNA from 1 species
CCGAGUGAGGGCCCCCCGCGGCCCGACCUCCCACCCUCCUGUUGUACCGACCACUGUUGCCUCGGGGGCGACCCGGCCUUCGGGCGUCGGGGCCCCCGGUGGACCAUUGUCAAACUCUUGCGUACCGAGCGUCUGAGGAAACGAGAAAAUGAAUCA